GAUUAUAUACUAACUCAAACAACAAAUAAAGUAAGGCAACAAAUGAUUAAUAACAACGUGUAAAUUAGAACGAAAGUAGAAAAGGAACAGAAAUAACAAACCUUUUAUAUACAUGAAGAUUUAUUGAAUACAAACAUAUAAAUUCGACGAGAGAAUUAGAACAAACUAAACAAGGCACGGAGAACUCGCUGGCGAUUUCGGGUGACAGAGCUUCGACGUGGUUAAUGGAAAAAAAUGAAACUGCUUUUGUGGUGCUUUCGGGGUUAGUUUUUAGCUGAAAUUUGGGGCUUUUGGGGGCUAUUUUUGAGUUGGGUUUGGGAGGUGUUUGUGGUGGAUUUAUUGCUGACUUUUUGGUGAGCUUUUGGAGAUGUUUUCAAUGGCCAUUUUGCUGCAUUUUUUUAGCUGUAAACAGUGGUAUAUCAGAGUGAUUUUGGAGUUGUUUGAUGGAGUUUAAGAAUGGCUUAAUGGAGGUUUCAUGACUGUACUUUCAUGGCUAAAAAGGGGGCUCUUUGGGGGUGUUUAAGGGUGGUUUAAUGAAGGAUUUUUGGAAGAAGAUGAAAUAAAAGAGAGGAGGUGUGGCUUUUUUUUUUAAGAUCUGUGUUUUCCCCAAUUUGCUCUAUCUUUUUCAAUCCGUCUCUCUCUAUUUUUUGUCCACUGUCGUCUCAUUCAUUUAUAUUAAUUGUGAGCCUCGGUGAGUACUUGGGGAGGAAGAAAGAAUACGAGUGGUCCCAAGGAAUAUUUUUGUGGUCCCCCUACUAAAAUCACUAUAUUCAUGUAUGUAUGGAAUUGUAGUAUGCAUAUGAUAAGUUUGUUGGAGGAAUUAUGUAGAAGGGUUAGGUGUGAAAAGCUGAUUGGAAGAAAAAAAAAUAUAGAAAGGAAAAUAAAGAAGAUAAGAGACUACGUGCAUUAUUUCAUUUCUUGUUUCGGUUUUUCUUUUGCCGUUCUUUUGAUUUCAUUCUUCUCGUUUUUCCUUUCUUUUUUUUUCUUGAUAUUAUUUUGUUUUCAUGAUAAAACAAAAGCUCAAAAUACUAAUAUAUAUAGUCCUAAAAACGUGGAAUCUUUUUAAUUUUUUUUAAAAAAAAAAAACUAAAGUAGAAACUACAAGAGAGGGAAAAAUGUGUAGUAAAAGUAUUAAAAAUAGCAUUAAAUCAAAGUUAUGGCUGAUAAAAUGAAAACUUAGUACACUAAAAUCAUGCGACUUUUUUUUGUAAUUUUUUUCAAUUUUAUCCAAAGUAAGAUACACUCAAAAUUGCUAGAGAAAUACUACUUAUCUAAAAUAAAAGAAAAAUAAUAAUUUUUGUAGUUUUUAUUUUAAGAUAAAAUAAAGAAAAAGGGUCAAAAAUAGGAAAAGUAACAAUAUUAGUGCUAAAAAAAUAUUUAAGUACUAAAGGUGUAAAAAUCUCGGGGAGGAUCAAAACUUACAUGUCUACAGCUACCCCUCAUUGACUGGAAACACGAAGAGUUUUCAAGCAAACAACGACGAGACAUGUUUUUGAACUGACCCAUAUUCAAAAAGAUAAAAACAAAGAAAGAGUGGGAGACCGAGUCCUGGUUUUGGACAGCCUACAUAUCCCGAGGUUAUGAGGGAAUCAGGUCACGUGUAGUUCAAAAGUGAAUAAAGUGACGCAGUAUGUGGAGAGGAUGAGAGAGUCGAGUGAGGUUCCAUCGAGGCCCCGGUCCGUAGUCCUGUUAUUACAUCAAAAUCAAAAUGAAAAAGAACCAAACAAACCCAUCAACUAUGAGUUACAAGAUUUCUAUCUAUAAGUCUUCUGAAGCAUAAUCUUGAGUCUUGAAUGGUUGUUCAUGCAGACUUUGAUUUGAACCUUGAUGCUUUCUAGUUGCAUGUAUUGAUUCAUUCUUCCACCGCUUCUCCGGAUCAAGACCUGACAUGCAGUUCUCGAGACUUCAAUAUGUCUUGAGUAGUUCACAUCUUUCAUAUGCUUAUGCAUUUUGGAUUCACUUUUUUCCUUUUCUUUUAUUCUGGAUUGAGACUUCUUCUUUUGGUUAUCUCGGAUUGUCGACUCAAAUUCUUGAGGCGAGCUUCUGUUACUUCUAUCUUGAAUUGAAUUAUGAAAUGACUUCUCUCGUUCUCCAGGUAGGCGCCUGCUAAUGACUUAAAAUUAGAAAUGAGUUCCUUGUUCUCCGGUUGGGCGCCUUCUACCGACUUAAAACUUGAAACUCUUGAAAUAAAUACCCUCGUUCUCAAGAUGGGUGCCUGAUACUACAGCAAAACAGACAAAACAAAGAAACUUUUCUGUCCAAGUUUGCACUAGGAAGAUUUAUGAGUUAUUAGCAGAACGAUAAAUCACCUAUGCUAUCGAUAAAGGAUGCAAUGAUGAGAGUAAAAGUGAAGAUUCGACUAUGAAGUGCGUCUCCUAUGAGUAAAACUAAGAAAAUUUCGACUUGCAAAUGUGUCUACUAAAAAACCUGAAUGACCCUGACUAUGAAGUGCGUCUCCUAGAUUUAAGAUUGAGCUUGCGAAAAACUAUAAACUAAGCUUGACUAAUGUAAAAAAUGAUCCUAUUCUCCAAGAGAGACCUUUGAUAUCAAGAAAACUAAAGAUUAACAACUUAAAACUAAAAACUAACCCUUUUUGUUUCUUUUCAAAUCCAGACUUCCCUUUUUUAAAAAAUUAUUAUCCUAGGAGAAAGUUUUAAUUUUAGGAGAAAUUUCAUCAGCCUAGGUCUCUUUUCUUUUCUUUUCUUUUCUUUUUUUUGGUAUCUUAAAAGAAAGAUUCAUCUGACUAAGAUUUCCAUUCUAGGAGAAAAUUCAUCAGACUAGGUUUCUUAUCUUUUCUAUACUAGGAGAAAGUUCAUCAAACUAGGUCUUUCUGAUUAUCUUAGGAAAAAGAUUCAUCAGACUAAUAUUUCUUUUUUAUCCUAGGAGAAAAUUCAUCAGACUAGGUUUCUUAUAUUAGGAGAAAGAUUCAUCAGACUAGGUUUUUUUUUGUUAUCUUAGGAGAAAGAUUCAUCAGACUAAGAUUUCUAUCCUAGGAGAAAGUUCAUCAGACUAGGUUUUCUAUCAUAGGAGAAAGUUCAUCAGACUAGGUUUUCUAUCAUAGGAGAAAAAAUAUGAAGAGCAAUGGCAACAUUUAUGCACAUUAGCAAGACAAGUAAAGGGAAAGAUUUGAGAAACAUCCCCUUGUCAGCUCUUUUCUUCUCUUCUCUUUUUUUUCUUUUUUUUGAAACCACUUUCCUUGCACUACUUUGUUCCUGUUCAGCUGAUGAAAAUUUUGUCAGCUUUGAAAGCGGUGGUCGGUUUGUGGUCUUGAGUCUUGGGCAGCUAGGCUUUUGCUCAAUCAGCUUGGGUUGGUUUCAAGAGACUUUUGUUCUGCAGCAACCCUAAUAGUUUCACACCCAGUACUAUUUGUAUUUGUGGCUCAAUCAGCCUUAUCCCAACUGGAGAUCUUUGUGGCUCAAUCAACCUUGUUUUGACACGGAAAAUGGAUUAUAUACUAACUCAAACAACAAAUAAAGUAAGGCAACAGAGGAUUCAUCACAACGUGUAAAUUAGAACGAAAGUAGAAAAGGAACAGAGAUAACAGACCUUUUAUAUACAUGAAGAUUUAUUGAAUACAAACAUGUAAACUCAAUGAGAGAAUUUGAACAAACCGAACCAGACACAGAGAACUCGCCAGCGAUCUCGGGUGAUAGAGCUCCAGCGUGAUUAAUGGAAAAAAUUGAAACUGCUUUUGUGGUUCUUUUCGGGUCAGCUUUUGGCUAACAUUUAGGGCUUUGGGGGGCUGUUUUCGAGCUGGGUGUGGGAGGUGUUUGUGGUAGCUUUAUUGCUGACUUUUGGUGAGCUUUUGGAGUUGUUUUCAAUGGACAUUUUGCUGCAUUUUUCAGCUGUAAACAGAGGUGUUUCAUAGUAAUUUUGGAGUUACUUAAUGGAGUUUAAGAGUGGCUUAAUGGAGGUUUCAUUGUUACCCUUUCAUGGCUAAAAAAACAGGCUCUUUGGGGGUGUUUGAGGGUGGUUUAAUGAAGCAUUUUAGGAAGAAUAUAAAAUAUAAGAGAGGAGGUGUGGCUAUUUUUUUAGAUUUGUAUUUUCCCCAAUUUGCUCUAUCUCCUCCUAUCUGUCUCUCUCUAUUUUUUGUCCAUUGUCCUCUCAUCCCCUUUAUAUUAAUUGUGAGCCUAGGUGAGUGCUUGGGGAGGAAGAAAGAAUAUGAGUGGUCUGUAAGGAAUAUUUUUGUGGUCCUCCCCUAUUAAAAUCAAUGUAUUAAUGUAUGUAUGGAAUUGUAGUGUGCAUGUAAUAAGUUUGUUGGAGGAAUUACAUAGGAGGGUGAGGUGUGAAAAGAUGAUUGGAAGAAAAAAAAGAAAUAUAAAAGGAAAAUAAAGAAGAUAAAAGACUACGUCCACUAUUUCAUUUCUUGUUUCGGUUUUGCUUUUGUCGUUCUUUUGAUUUCAUUCUUCUCAUUUUUCCUUUCUUUUUUUUCUUGUUAAUUUUUGUUUUCUUGAUAAAACAAAAGCUCAAAAUACUAAUAUAUAUAUAUAUAGUCCUAAAAAUGUGGAAUCUUUUUAAUUUUUUUUUUUAAAAAAAAACUAAAGUAGAAACUACAAGAGAGGAAAAAAACGUGUAGUAAAAGUAUUGAAAAUUGAAUUAAAUCAAAGUUAUGGCUGAUAAAAUAAAAACUUAGUACACUAAAAUCAUGUGACUUUUUUUGUACUUUUUUUCAAUUUUAUCCAAAGUAAGAUACACUCAAAAUUUCUAGAGAAAUACUACUUAGCUAAAAUAAAAGAAAAAUAAUAUUUUUUGUAGUUUUCAUUUUAAGAGAAAAUAAAGCAAAAAGGUCAAAUAUAGGCAAAGUAACUGUUUACCGUGAAAAUGGUAACAACAAUUAAAUUUGUAAAUGGUAUUCUAAAAAUACAUGAUAUAUACCCGAGCUAGUAGUUAGAGCAGUUGAUACUAAGAACGUGAAGCUUAACGAUAAAAUGCGAGCUAAAACAAGACAGUAAUCAAACCGAAGGGACCUGUUGCCCGGAUGCAAAGCCGGUCGAUAAGGACCUCGGGGUCGGAACUCGAAUCAAGCUCGAGCUAUCGGGGGCAACCGGGAAUAGGAUAACAAUUAAGCAUACGAUCAAGCAAGGCUCUUUACGGCCAAAGUUGUGCAAUAUAGCAUGAAAUAAGUAAGAAGACAAUAGAUGUUAAAGCGGCCUCGAGCCAGUGAGAACGAACAAAAUAUGAGAAAGAGAGAGAGAUAUUAUUGCUUUGGUGGAGAAAUGGAGCAAUUUUAGCCUCUUACAAAGUGGUAUGGGUUCCCCUUAUAUAGGCAAGGGAAUGCGGUAUGGUACAUAGUGCAUUAAAUGUAAAUAUACGGGAAUGGGACGGCUAGACAUGACACAUGAGCCUAUUGAUUCUAGCUGCUUGCCUCGGGAGUUCCCCGUCUUCAUAACCUUUGAUGUGUCGCAGACAGAUGCCUUAACCUCGGAGCCUCUACAGGGCCACAGAUGUUCCUCGAGAUAAGGAGCCUGAUCAUGAUCCCACAACCUUGAGGAGCUAACAUGACAUUCUGAAUAUACCUUAAUGGCGGGAAAUGGAUUCCCCUGAUUUCACCGCAUACAGUAACAAUAUUAGAGUUAAGAAAAUACUUAAGUACUAAAGGUGUAAAAAUCUCGGGGAGGGUCAAAAAUUACAUGUCUACAAUUGCCCCUCUUUGAGUGGAAACACGAACAGUUUUCAGACAAAGACCGACGAGACAUGUUUUUGGCCCGACCCAUAUUCAAAAAGAUCAAAAAAUAAAGAAAGAGUGUGCGACCGGGUCCUGGUUUUGGACAGCCUACAUAUCCGGGGUUAUAAGGGAAUCAGGACACGUGUAGUUCAAAAGUGAAUGGAGUGAUGCAGUAUGUGGAGAGAAUGAGAGAGUCGAGUGAGGUUCCGUAAAGUCCCCGGUACGUGGUCCUUUUAUUAUAUCAAAAUCAAAAUGAAAAAGAACUAAACAAACCUAUCAACUAUGAGUCACAAGAUUUCUAUCUAUAAGUCUUCUGGAACUUAAUCUUGAGUCUUAAAUGGUCCUUCAUGCAGACUUUGAUUUGAACCUUGAUGCUUUCUAGCUGCAGGUAUUGAUUCAUUCUUCCACGGCUUCUCUGGAUCAAGACCGGACAUGCAGUGCUCGUGACUUUAGCAUGUCUUGAGUAGUUCACAUCUUUUAUCUACUUCUGCAUUUUGGAUUCACUUUUUUUCCUUUUCUUUUAUUCUGGAUUGAGACUUCUUCUUUUGGUUAUCUCGGAUUGUCGACUCACAUUCUUGAAGCGAGCUUUUGUUAGUUCUAUCUUGAAUUAAAUUCUAAAACUAGAAAUGAAUUCCCUUGUUCUCCAGGUGUGCGUCUGCAACUGAGUUAAGACUUGAAUGAAUUCCCUUGUUCUCCAGGUGGGCACCUGCUAUUAACCUAACAACUUGAAAUGAAUUCCCCCGUUCUAUAGGUGAGCGCCUGCUACCGACUUAAAACUUGAAACUCUUGAAAUAAAUACCCUCGUUCUCCAGAUGGGCGCCUGAUACUACAGCAAAACAGACAAAACAAAGAAACUUUUCUGCCCCAGUUAGCACUAGGAAGAUUUGUGAGUUAUUAGCAGAACUAUAAAUCACCUACGUUAUCGAUAAAGGAUGCAAUGAUGAGAGUAAAAUUGAAGAUUCGACUAGGAAGUGUGUCUCCUAUGAGUAAAACCAAGAAAAUUUUGACUUGCAAAUGCGUCUACUAAAAAAACUGAAUGACCCAGACUAGGAAGUGCGUCUCCUAGAUUUAAGAUUGAGCUUGUGAAAAAUUAUAAACUAAGUUUAACUAAAGUAAAAAUUGACCCUAUUCUCAAGGCGGGACCCCUGAUUUCAAGAAAACUAAAGAUUAAUAACUUAAAACUAAAAAUUGACCCUUUUUUUCUUUUCGAAUCCAAAAAUUCCUUUUUUUUAAAAAAAAAUUAUUGUCCUAGGAGAAUGUUUUAAUCAUAGGAGAAAGAUUCAUCAGACUAAGAAUUUGAUCCUAGGAGAAAGUUCAUUAGACUAGGUCUCUUUUCUUUUUUUUUGGUAUUUUAGGAGAAAGAUUCACCGGACUAAGAUUUCUAUCCUAUGAGAAAAUUCAUCAAACUAGGUUUCUUAUCUUAGGAGAAAGUUUCAUCAGACUAAGAUUUCUUAUCCUAGGGAAAGUUCAUCAGACUAAGGCGAUUAUCAUAGGAGAAAGAUUCAUCAGACUAGGUUUUUUUUUGUUAUAUUAGGAGAAAGAUUCAUCAGACUAAAAAUUUUAUCCUAGGAGAAAGUUCAUCAGACUAGGUCUUCUAUCUUAGGAGAAAAAAUGUGAAGAGCAAUGGCAACAUUUUAUGCAUAUUAGCAAGACAAAUAAAGGUAGAGAUUUGAGAAACUUCCCUUUGUCGGCUCUUCUCUUCUCUUCUAUUUUUUCACUUUUUUUUAAACAACUUUCCUUGCACUGCUUUGUUCCUGUUCAACCGAAGAAAAUUUUGUCAGUUUUGAAAGUAAUGGUCGGUUUAUGGCCUUGAGUCUUGGGCAGCUUGGCUUUUUCUCAAUGGUCUUGGGUCGAUUUCAAGAGACUUUUGUUCUGCAGAAACCCUGAUUGUUUCACAUCCAGUACUAUUUGUAUUUGUGGCUCAAUCAGCCUUAUCCCUACUGGGGAUAUUUGCUUAGGAUGACCUUUUCUGAUAUCUUGAAUGACUUCCUGCUUUUUGAGCAAUUUGUCUGUCAGAGGGAAUCACAAGUUAUCUUUGCUUGCGCCAAGUAGGCUGACAAGAGUCUUGGGGGAGCUUUUGCAUGAAUCUUCAAGGCAAGUUGACUGUAACUACUGAGUGUGCUGGAUAAAUUUACUUUAUGUAACUGAAAAGGUGGUAGCAGAUUUUGAAAUCUUUUCUCGCUUAUUUUGACACGGACUGACUCAGAGUGAAGGAAGUAAUGAUACAAAAUAAUAAUAUUAACAAGAAAUGCCAAUGUCGGGAAGAACAGAAGGAAGGUUAUUUUUUUAUUUUCUUUUAAAUAAUUAGUCUUAAUGAUCAUGACAUGCAUUUUGGACAUAACAACCUGAUCUAUCAAACUGAUCCAAUCUUCCUUUUUACCAUUCUUAUGACCUUUGAAGUUGGGCUUGUUCGUGACGAUUCUUUGCAUCUGCUUCACAACCCACUUUCGACUAGUGGUGCCCCGAUGGGUUUUCACAAACAAGUCUCUCUCAUUUAUUUUCUCUGUUUACCGUCGCCUUACUGUGCCCGUGAAGGUUUUUACUUGCAAGACUCUCUCAUUUUUUCUUUCCCUUUUUUUUCUAUGGGCAACUUGACAGUGUUCUAUGUUGUGUGACAACCAUUACUCAUUGCAUACUUCUCUUGGAAUUCUUGAAAGCUUAUUAAGAGGUCUUGAUUUGGAAGGUUUUUGGAUAAGGUUGGAAAGAAAGGACGUCAUGAAGGCUCAAAAUAGACUCAAAGUAAAGGGGGUUGUAGACUUACAACUCUUGGAAUCGACUUUUUCAAAAGUGAAAUAAAUUUUACCCCAGUUUCAGCUAUUGGGGAUUUUUUUCUUUUUUUCUUUUUAUUUUUUGAAUUCUUAUUUGGUUGGAUCGAACCGUGAGGCUGCCUACGUAUCCUUUUUUUUAAAAGGAAUCAUUUCAAACGUAGUUCAAAAAUCUGACCUAACUAUUUUUUCAUCUUUCUUUCUGUAUCUCUUUUUUUCUUUCUUCUUUUUUUUUCAAGUUGUCUCAGCUUCUGUUUUCUGGGGGCAUGGACCUUUGACUAUUUUCUUUUCUUUUUUUUCACAAGAACUUUCUAAGAGUUUUCCCAGUUUGUACUCUUGGGGCAUGGACUUUUUUUUCAUCAUUUUUUUAUUUUAAUUUUUUAUUGAACUUUUAACUCUAAACUUGAUUCCAAAAGAGGGUGGUCAAAGAAAAUAACACAAGAUCAAAAAAGGUAACAAAUGCUAUAAAGUGUUUGGGUAGUAGAAAAAGGGCCACCUAUCCUCAAGAACGUCAAUCAUGGUAUCCUCUUGCGAUCACAGUAUUGAUGAAAAUGACUAUCUUCUUGGUGUGUCGUGGUCGAAAGACAACUUUUAUCCAUUAAUGUCAAACUUCCGACCAAGCUUCAAUUGAUUCAAUAUCCUCAAGCCCGAUCUUCAUAAUGAUUUGAAGGUAAAUUUUACUCGACCUUACUUCCAAAAUAUUUCAACUCUUUAUUCAUCCUCAAAAACGUCUUUAACUCAGUUAUCCAAUUCAAGCUUAAAUCAAUUUUCUAAGAUCUGGUAAAAAAUUCCAGAUGUAUGUCAUAUCACUAAAACUAGCGGGAAAAGAACUAAGCAUUGAAUGACACAAAGGACAAACUCUAUUUUAUUGAGUAAACAACAAGAUAAACAACCUAAAAUCCGAGUUACAACCCUGAAAUAACCUAGAUAAUGAAAAUAGCAACAAAACAGGCAGACAAGACUCAUACAAACAGAAUAGAGGGAUAGAAGGGUUUGGCUCAAUAAAACCAAUAAAAUCUAGAUGACAACCCUGAAAUAACCCAGAUAAUAGAAAAAAUAUCAAAACAAACUACCAAGAUUCCUUCCUAGUGAGGAGGGAAUGACUUUUCAAUUGCUAAGCUUGACAUUUAGCCACACCUUCGCUCAUCAUAAUCACCAUGUCCUUCUCCAAUUUCAGUCAGCAAGCUCCCGAGAGGAUUCUCAUAAUCCAUGUAACCAGGUAUCAUCCCCACAAAGUGUGCAUCAUCAUGUGCAGGUGAAGUAUUCUGCGUGAUAUUUUGGGUGUCACUGUCUUGGAUCACAAUCAAUUUUUCCUGGACCAUCCUUUUUAUUUCCCUUUUCAAAUCCCAGCAGCUUUCAACAUUGUGCCCCAGGGCACUGGAAUGGUAUUCACACCUUUUAGAAGGGUCAAAGCUUCUUGCACGUGGGUCUACAUGAUUUGGAGGAGCAGGUGCAAUCAUGUCAUAAUGCUUUAAUUUCUCAAACAACCUUGCAUAAGACUCUCCUAUUAGUGUAAAAUUAUCUUUUAACCUAUGUUCCUCUUCAUAUCCCUGGCUUGGAUAUGGGCAAUAGGGCACUUGAAAAUUUUGUGAAAUCGCCAAAGCUGUCACACCUCCUUUUUACCCGUAGGGGAUAUAAGAGAGUUUUUCCAAUUAAAGUGACAAUAAUCGAAAUGAGAUUAUUUAUUAUUCAGAGUAGCCACUUGGAAUACUUUAUGGUGUCCCAAGUCACCGGUUUAUUUUAAAUCCCAAAUCGAGGAAAAUUGACUCUUAUUAUGGUUGGCGAACACAGAAGACCGGGUAAGGAAUUCUGUUAACCAGGGAGAAGGUGUGAGGCACUCCCAAGUUCCAUGGUUUUAUCUCGUUGCUCAACUAUUAAUAAUUGGUCUAAUUAUCUGAUUUAUUAUAUGUUUAAACUCUAUUGAGCAUUUUUACUUUUAACCGCUUUUAAUUAUUUAUGGAUUGAACAAGUCCCGAUAUCGCACACUUGUUUGUUUUUGUACACAUUACGAAUCGCAUCACGGGAACCGUACCAACGAUCUACAACAUGUUUAAUUUUAUUAUCGUUCGAAAUUGUGCCAAGGUCACAUGAAAUGUGCACCCGACUUGGAGAUAACGUAUCAUGACUAUGCCAUGAGAACUGUACUGUCACGAUCCUAAACCCAAACCCGGUCGUGAUGGCGCCUCUCUUAAAUACAAGGCCAGCCAAUUAAACCCAAUUCACUUUUUAAAUAAUUAAUCAGUAAUAAACAGCCUAAGCGUGAGUAAAUAAGCAAAAGUCUAAACAAAAGGUUGUAUAAUAUGGGGAAUAUAGCCCAAACACAGCCCGAUACCGGGGUGUCACAAGUCACGAGCAUGUAACACGGAAUACUCCAAAGCAACUACAGAGUUUAAUACAAAAACUAAAGACAUGAUGAGAUAAGAUAGGUAGGAGCUCCAGGCUGCGAACGCCAAUAACUACCUAGAGACUCCUCGGAUCCGCCUGAAGUUGGAAACGAUCAGCACUCGGGAGCGAGACCAGCUACGCCUGAAUAUGCAUACAGGGUGCAGGGAGUAAAGUGAGUACUCCAACUCAGUGAGUAACAAAUGUAAAUAAACACUGAAAGUAAGAAAUCAAGUAAGGCACAAGGCUUUCUAUAAUGAAGCAGUAAAACAAUUAAAACAGUAAACACGUGAAAGGUAGGUAAAAUUCUUUAACUCAAACGUAGUUUCAUGAAAAGCCUUUUUCCAUAAUUAAGCAUGAAAUUGACAGUCAAUUAUGAAAAGUAAACAUAUAAAAGCUCGCCCCUCGGGCACAAUAUCAACAAAUCCGCCUCUCAAGCAAUAUCUCAGAACAGUACCAGCCCCUCAGGCAAUCACAUAGAAUAAUACCAGCCCCUCAGGCUCAAUAUCACAUCACAAUGGGUAUCUGCACUCACUAGGGGUGUACAGACUCCUGGAAGGGCCCCUUAUUGCCCAAGAGCAAUAUCAAGCCACCUCGUGGCGUACAUAUCUCAGGCCCUCAUCCUCAUAAUUAGUAUCAAACGUUUCCUCACAACAUAGGCCCUCGGCCUUACUCAGUCAAAAUCCUUACAAGCCACUAAGGCAAUAGUAAAACAUGAUUCUCAGCCCAAAAAUAUCAUUUAAAAGAUCAUGUAAGUGUUAAUAAUAGAGUAAACAUGGCUGAGUACGAAAAAUAGUGAAAUAUAACAUGAUUGAGUUCAAGUAUAAAGUCAAAACAGUGAGGAAACAAUAGUAAAAAUCCCCAAAGGGUUCAAAUAGUUGACACAAGGCCCAAAUAUGCCAUUCAGCCCAAAUAAUGAUGGUAGCAAAUAGAUUUCAGUCAAAUACGUGGUAAAAUAGUCAUUCGGGAUGGACUAAGUCACAAUCCCCAAUAGUGCACAACCCCACGCUCGUCCUCAAGCGUGUGUGUCAACUCAAUAUAGCACCACAAUGUGCAAGUCCGGGGUUUCAUACCCACAGAACAUCAUUUACAAUUAUUACUCACCUCGAAUCGGUCAAAUCUCUAGCUCGCAAUGCUUUUGCCUCUCGAAUCGGCCUCCACUCAUGUUGAAUCUAUCCAAAAUCGGAAAGAGGACGUCAAAAUAUGCUAAGGGAACGAAGCCCAAGCGAAAAUAAUCAAAAUACUACAUAAAUUCCGAAUUUACCAAAACCAGACCCUCGGGCCCAUGUCUAGAAAUUCGAAUUUUUACAUCACCAGAUUCCUUAUCUCCUCAAGAGUUCAUACAUAUCAAAAGUUCUGAAAUCCGACCUCAAAUAGUCCUUCAAAUCCCCAAGUAAAGGUCUAAGUUCCCAAGCCCUAGUUUCCCCAAUUUUCACCCUUAAUUCCCAUGAUUUCUAGCUCUAAUCCGUGUAAUAAUAGCAUAGGAAUGAGUUUUAGGUCCAAAUUCCUUACCUCAAUGAAGUUUCCUUGAAAUCUCUCUUUCAAAUCGUCCAAAAAGCUCCUAAGACGAAGUCAAAUGUAGUGAAAGAGUUCAAAUUCGCAAAUGCUAUAAUUUAUACCUUUUGCCCAGACAUUUUCGCAUAUGCGGCUAUAUUUUCGCUUCUACGGCACCGCAUCUGCGGUCAUAAACCACUGCAUCUGCGGUCCUCACUUAAACUCCCAUUUUCGCAUUUGCGAUUCAUUAUCCGUAUCUACGACUUCGCAGAUGCGGUCCUCUUUGCCGCUUCUGCGGUUCCUUCUCCUCAGACCCUUUUUCGCUUCUGCGGUCGAUCUCCUGCAUGUGCGGCAUCGCACCUGCGUUUCCCAAUCCGCAGGUGCGGAAAUACUAGAAGCAGCAAAAGUUCAGCAGCUUCAAACAUUCCACAAACUCCCCGUCAACCAUCCGAAAUCAUCCCGAGGCCCCUGGGACUUCAACCUAAAACAAAAACAUAUCCUAAUACCUUAUUCAAACUUGUACCAAUCUUCAAAACACCUCAAACAACGUCAAAUCAACAAAAACACAUCGGAUUCAAGCCAAACUUUCUAAAAUCCUCUGAAUUCCGCGUUUGAUAAAAAUUCCAACCAAACCACGUCCGAAUGACCUGAAAUUUUGCACACACAUCUCAAGUAACACAACGGAACUGUCGGAAUUCCAUUCCGACCCUUAUAUCAAAAUCUCACCUACCAACCGGAAAUCGCCAAAAUAUCGACUUCGCCAAUUCAAGCCUAAAUCUGCUCUGAACCUCCAAAACUCAUUCUGAUCACGCUCAUAAGUCAUAAAUUACCUCCCAAAGCUAACCGAACCUUCGAAACUCACUUCCAAGCCCUCUAACACACAAGUCAACAACGGUUGACAUUUCCAACUUAAACUUACUCUAAAGAGACUAAGUGUCUCAAACCUUACCAAAUCCUUUCCGAACUUGAUCUGACCAACCCGACACCACAUAACACGGAUAAACAAAGCAUAAAAAGGGAGAAAUAGGGGAAACACAGCGGUAACUCAUGAGAAGACUGGUCGGGUCGUCAUAUCAUCCCCAACUUAAACAAAUGUUCGUCCGCGAACGAAUCAAGAAACAUACCUGAAGACUCAAAUAGGUGAGGAUAUCUGCUCUGCAUCUCCCGCUCGGUCUCCCAGGUAGCCUCCUCCACGGGCCGACCUCUCCACUAUACUUUCACUGAAGCUAUAUCCUUUGACCUCAACUUCCAAACCUGACGACCCAAAAUAGUUAUUGGCUCCACAUCAUAAGUCAAAUCAUCAUCCAACUGAAUCGUGUUGAAAUCUAAAACAUGAGACGGAUCCCCAAUCUACUUCCGGAGCAUAGAAACAUGAAAUACCGGAUGCACACUCGAUAAACUGGGCGGCAAGGCAAGCUCAUAUGUCACCUCCCCAAUCCUCCGAAGCACCUCAAAAGGAACAAUGAAUUGAGGACUCAAUUUACCUUUCUUUCCAAAUCUCAUAACACACUUCAAGGGCGAAACCUUCGACAGAACCUUCUCGCCAACCAUGUAGGACACAUCUCGAACCUUCUUGUCAGCAUAACUCUUUUGCCAUGACUGCGUUGUAUGAAGCCUCUCCUGAAUCACCUUCACCUUUUCUAAGGCAUCCUGCACCAAGUCUGUCCCCAAUAGCCUAGCCUCACCGAGCUCGAACUAGCCAAUUGGAGAUCUACACCGCCUCCCGUACAAAGCCUCAUAUGGAGCCAUCUGAAUACUCGAUUGGUAGCUGUUGUUAUAAGCAAACUCUGCGUGUGGUAAUAACUGAUCCCAUGACCCUCCGAAAUCAAUGACACAAGCACGCAACAUGUCCUUCAAUACCUGAAUAGUGCGCUCGGACUGCCCGUCCAUCUGAGGGGGAAAAGCUAUGCUCAACUCAACCUGAGUACCCAACUCUCGCUACACAGANNNNNNNNNNNNNNNNNNNNNNNNNNNNNNNNNNNNNNNNNNNNNNNNNNNNNNNNNNNNNNNNNNNNNNNNNNNNNNNNNNNNNNNNNNNNNNNNNNNNNNNNNNNNNNNNNNNNNNNNNNNNNNNNNNNNNNNNNNNNNNNNNNNNNNNNNNNNNNNNNNNNNNNNNNNNNNNNNNNNNNNNNNNNNNNNNNNNNNNNNNNNNNNNNNNNNNNNNNNNNNNNNNNNNNNNNNNNNNNNNNNNNNNNNNNNNNNNNNNNNNNNNNNNNNNNNNNNNNNNNNNNNNNNNNNNNNNNNNNNNNNNNNNNNNNNNNNNNNNNNNNNNNNGAAUAAAGUAAGUACACAACAGGAAUAGAAGGAUGCAGCGGACUUGGGUCAGCUAAUCCACAAUCACCCAAAUAGCGUCGAACUUUCUCAAUGUCCAUGGAAGUCCAACAACAAAGUCCAUAGUGAUCCUCUCCCACUUCCACUCGGAAAUAUCUAUUCGUUGAAGCAAGCCACCUGGUCCCUGAUGCUCAUAUUUCACCUGCUGACAAUUGAGACAUCGAGCUACAAAUCCGACAAUGUCUUUCUUCAUUCUCCUCCACCAAUAAUGCUGCCUCAAAUCCUGAUACAUCUUCGCGGCACCCGGAUGAAUGGAAUACCGCGAGCUAUGGGCCUCUUCCAGAAUCAACUCCCGAAGCCCAUCCAUAUUGGGCACACAAAUCCGGCCCUACAUCCUCAACACCCCAUCAUAACUGAUGGUCACAUCUCUAGCAUCAUCAUGCUGAACUUUGUACUUAAGGACAAGCAAAUGCGGAUCAUCAUACUGGCGCUCCCUGAUACGAUCAUAUAAGGAAGACUGAGAAACCACACAAGCCAAUACCCGACUGGGCUCCGAAAUAUCUAACCUCACCAACCGAUAGGCCAAGGCCUGAACAUCCACUGCAAGAGGUAUCUCCCCAACUGGAAUAUAUGCCAGACUCCCCAUACUCAUCGCCUUUUGGCUCAGAGCAUCGGCCACCACAUUGGCCUUCCUCGAAUGGUAAAAUAUAGUGAUAUCAUAAUCCUUAAGCAACUCCAACCACCUCCGCUGCCUCAAAUUGAGAUCCUUCUAUUUGAACAAGUGUUGGAGGCUACGAUGAUCAGUAAACACCUCACAAGACACACCAUACAAGUAAUGUCUCAAAAUUUUCAACGCGUGAACUAUGGAAGCCAACUCUAAAUCAUGAACAGGGUAGUUUUUCUCAUGGGGCUUCAAUUGACGAGAAGCAUAAGCAAUAACUCUACCCUCCUGCAUCAAAACACACCCAAUACCAACUCGCGAAGCAUCACAAUACAUGGUAUAUGAACCUAAAGAUGAUGGCAAAACUAACACUAGAGUUGUGGUCAACGUUGUCUUGAGCUUCUAAAAGCUCUCCUCACACUCAUCCGACCAUACAAAUGAAACACCCUUCUGAGUCAACUUGGUCAAGGGCGAUGAGAUAGAUGAGAAUCCCUGAACAAAACGGUGAUAAUAACCCGCCAAACCAAGAAAACUAUGAAUCUCUUUUGCUGAGGACGAUAUGGGCCAACUCUGAACAAUCUCUAUCUUCUUCGGAUCAACUUGAAUUCCCUGGCUGGACACCACGUUCCGUAAGAAAGCCACUGAACUAAGCCAAAACUCACACUUGGAGAAUUUUGCAUAAAGUUUCUCCUCUCUCAAUCUCUGCAACACAACUCUCAAAUGCUCCGCGUGCUCCUCCUGACUACGCGAAUAUACCAGAAUAUAAUCAAUGAAGACUAUGACAAAUGAGUCAAGAUAAGGUUGGAACACACUUUUCAUCAAAUGCAUGAACAUUGGUGGGGCAUUGAUCAGCCCAAAAGACAUCACCAAGAACUUAUAAUGACAUAUUGGGUCCUGAAAGCUAUCUUAAGAAUAUCCGAGUCGCUGAUCUUCAACUGGUGAUAACCUGAAUGGAGAUCAAUCUUGGAGAACACUCUUGCUCCCUAAAGUUGGUCAAAUAAAUCAUCAAUGCGAGGCAAAGGAUACUUGCUCUUAAUUGUUACCUUGUUCAAUUGCCUAUAAUUAAUGCACAUCCUAAUAGUGCCAUCCUUCUUCUUCACAAAUAGAAUCGUCCCACCCCAAGCUGACACACUAGGCCGAAUGAACCCUUUAUCAAGGAGUUCCUGAAGCUGCUCCUUUAAUUCCUUCAACUCUGCUGGUGCCAUACGAUACGGCGGAAUAGAAAUGGGCUGAGUGUCUGGCACCAGGUCAAUACCAAAAUCAAUAUCCUUGUCCGGUGGCAUGCCCGGCAGGUCUGCAGGAAACACAUUAGGAAAAUCCUUCACAACUGAAACAGAAUCAGUACUAGGAGUCUCAACACCGACAUCCCUCACGAAGGCUAAAUACAAAAAGACAACCCUUCCCAACCAUACGCUGGGAUUUCAAGAAUGAGAUCACUCUACUAGGAACGUAAUCAGUCACACCUCACCACUCGAUCCGUGGCACACCCGGUAUAGCUAAUGUGACUGUCUUAGUAUGAUAGUCUAGAAUAGCACGACAAAGAGAUAGCCAAUCCAUGCCCAAAAUGACAUUGAAAUCCACUAUACACAAUGAUAAAAGAUCCACACGGGUCUCCAGACCCCCAAUAGUCACCACACAUGACUGGUACAUACGGUCUACAACAACAGUAUUGCCCAUCGGGGUAGAUACAUGACUAAGUGAAGCAAGAAACUCAUGGGGCGUACCCAAAUAACGAGCAAAGUCUGAUGACACAUAAGAAAAGGUGGAACCGGGAUCAAAUAAUACAGAGGCAUCUCUGUGGCAGACUGAAACAAUACUUGUAAUAACAGCAUCUGAAGCAAUAGCAUCGGGUCUGCCUGGAAGUGCAUAGAAACGGGCCUAAUCGCCACCUGAUCAACAUCUCUCUCUAGGGAGACCCUUAGCUAACUGACCUCCACCCUUCGCUGGCUGGGCAGGUGGUGGUGAAGUAACUGACGCUGAAGCCAAUGACUGACCCCUCUGCUGAUAUGAACUGGCAAGACGACGAGGGCACCACCUCUACAUAUAACACAUCUCACCACACUCAUAACAACUCCCAUGUGCUGGAGAAGGGGACUAAAGGGAACCCCUCGCACUAGAGUGACUAGCAGAUGUACUCGGCAUAGAAGAGCCAUGUACUGAUGGAGCACGGGUCGAACUCUGAGCUGGAAGGGCACUAAGUGAUGACUGGCCCUGAUGAGAACUAUCAGAACCAUGACUCGACGAUGCCCUACGAUAACCUGGGCGAGCUAGCUGAGCAUGCCUGAAUGGACGGCCUCUACCGUGCUAAAACUGACCUCUCGAAGGAGUACCCCCAAAAAUACCAGAUCCUUGAGGCCUCUUGGCCUCCCUCUCCUAUUACUCCUGGCGAGAACAAACUCAAUCUCAUGGGCAAUAUCCACAACCUCCUCGAAAGUAGCACCAAUCACCCUUUCCCUAGUCAUGAGAAUACGAAGAUGAUAAGUGAGGCCAUCAACAAACCUCCUAAUCCUCUCUCUAUCUAUCAGAACCAUCCAAAUAGCAUGACGAUCUAUCUCAGAGAACCUCAUCUCAUACUGUGUCACAGUCAUAUCUCCCUGACGCAACCACUCAAACCUCCUACAGAGUUCCUCUCUAUGGUACUGCGGCACAUACUUCUUCAGAAAGAGAAUAGAGAACUGCUGCUAGGUAAGGGGUGCUGCACCAAUAGGCCUACGCCUCUCAAAAGCCUCCCACCAAGUGAAGGCAGCUCCAGAAAACUGAUAAGUAGUGAAAGCGACCCCGCUGGUCUCCGGAAUACCCGUUGUACAAAGCAUCCUCUGACACUUAUCCAAGAAACCCUGGCAUCCUCGCCCUCUGCACCACUGAAGGUCGGAGGCUACAGUCUACCAAACCUCUCCAACCUACGAUGCUCAUCCUUCGGCAUAACAGGAUCUAAAUAGUCGUGAGCAGCUGCAACCGGCUGGGCUGGAUGUGACCCCAGUGUCUGAAGUCCCUGCACGACCUACUCAGGUGUGCGAGCGGUAGGAGUCUGAUUGCCUCCCCCAGCCUGAGAGGUAGCUGCGACUGUAGUGGCUGAAACCGCCUAAGCAAGGCCAGUGCAAACNGGCAAGAUCUGAGCCAAGGCCUCCUGAAAACCCAGAAUCACAAUGGCCACAGCUGGUGCCUGAGCUGGUGCUGCAGGAGCAUCCAUAACUGGGACCUGAUCCUGAACUGGGGCAGCUGGUGGAUUUGCAGGUGCUUCCCUAGUUGCUCNNNNNNNNNNNNNNNNNNNNNNNNNAAAGGUUCUGCAGCAUCUCGAGGAUAAAUAAAACGUCUCCAUACCGAUCCGCUAGACUCUACUAAACCUGCUCAUGAUUAGUGAGACCUGUGCUAAAAUCUGAUACCAGCUUGUCACGACCCUAAACCCGAACCCGGUCGUGAUGGCGCCUCUCAUGAAGACAAGGCCAACCAAUUAAACCCAAUUCACUUUUUAAACAUUUAAUCAGUAAUAAACAGUAUAAGCAUGAGUAAAUAAACCAAAGUCUAAGCAAAAGGUAGCAUAAUAUGCGGAAUAUAGCCCAAACACAGCCUGAUACCGGGGUGUCACAAGUCACGAGCAUCUAACAAUACGAAAUACUCCAAAGAAACUAUAUAGUUUAAAAUGAAAACUAAAGAAAAGAUGAGAUAAGAUAGGGAGGAGCUCCGGGCUGUGAACGCCAACAGCUACCUAAAGACUCCUCGGAUCCGCCUGAAGCUGGAAUGAUCAGCACUCGGGAGCGGGACCAGCUACGCCUGAAUCUGCACACAGGGUGUAGGGAGUAAAGUGAGCACUCCAACUUAGUGAGUAACAAAUGUAAAUAAAGACUGAAAGCAAAAAAUCACGUAAGCCACAAGGCAUUCUAUAAUGAAGCAGUAAAAAAAUUAAAAUAGUAAACCAGUGAAAGGUAGGCAAAAAAUUUUAACUCAAAUGUAGUUUCAUAAAAAGCCUUUUUCAAUAUUUAAGUAGGAAAUUGACAUUCAAUUAUGAAAAGUAAACACAUAAAGGCUCGACCCUCGGGCACAGUAUCAACAAUUCCGCCCUUCUAGGGGUUUACAACCUCCUGGAGGGGCCCCUUACGGCCCAAGCACAAUAUCAAGCCACCUCGUGGCAUCAUCACUAGGCCAUCGGCCUCAUAUCAAUCAAGCGACUUCGUGGCAUACAUAUCUCAAGCCCUCGGCCUCAUAAUCAAUAUCAAAUGUUUCUUCACAACAUAGUCCCUCGGCCUUACUCAGUCAAAAUCCUCACAAGCCACUCGGACAAUAGUAAAACAUGAUUCUCAGCCAAAAAAAUAUCAUUUAAAAGAUUCAUGCAAGUGUUAAAAACAUAGUAAACAUGGCUGAGUACGAAAAACAGUUAAAUAUAACAUGACUGAGUUCAAGUAUAAAGUCAAAACAUUGAGGAAAUACUAGUAAAAAUUCACGAAGGGUUCAAAUAGUUGGCACAUGGCUCAAAUAUGGCAUUCAGCCCAAAUAAUGAUGGUAGCAAAUAGAUUUCAGUCAAAUACGCGGUAAAAUAGUCAUUCGGAAUGGACUAAGUCACAAUCACCAACAGUGCAUGACACCACGCUCGUCAUCAAGCAUGUGCGUCACCUCAAUAUAGCACCACGAUGUGCAAGUCCGGGGUUUCAUUCACUUAGAACAUCAUUUACAAUCAUUACUCACAUCGAACCGGUCAAAUCUCUAGCUUUGCGACGCCUUUGCCCUUCGAAUCGGCCUCCACUCACAUCAAAUCUAUCAGAAAUUAGAAUGAGGACAUCAAAAUAUGCUAAGGGAACGAAGCGCAAGCAAAAAUAAUAAAAAUACUACAUAAAUCACGAAUUUACCAAAACCCGACCCCAGGGCCUACGUCUCAGAAUUCGAUAAUUUUUACAUCAAUGGAUUCCUUAUCUCCUCACGAUUUCAUACAUAUCAAAAGUUCUAAAAUCCAACCUCAAAUGGUCGUUCAAAUCCCCAAGCAAAGGUCUAAGUUUCCUAGCCCUAGUUUCCCCAAUUUUUACCCUUAAUUCCCAUGAUUUCUAGCUCUAAUCCGUAUAAUAUCAUAGGAAUGAGUUUUAGGUCCAAAUUCCUUACCUCAAUGAAGUUUCCUUGAAAACCCUCUUUCAGAUCGUCCAAAAAGCUCCAAAGCCGAAGUCAAAACUGGUAAAAUAGCUCAAAUUCGCAAAAGCUACGAUUUAUACCUUCUGCCCAGACAUUUUCGCAUCUGCAGCUAUAUUUAUGCUUCUGUGGUACCGCAUCUGCGGUAAAAAAUCACCGCAUUUGCGGUCCUCACUUAAACUCCCAGUUCAGCAUCUGCGAUUCAUUAUCCGCAUCUGCGACUUCGUAGAUGCGGUCCUCUUAGCCGAUAUUGUGAUUCCUACUCCUCAAACCCUUUUUUACUUCUGCGGUCGAUCUCCCGCACGUGCAGUGUCACAUCUACGGUCUCCAAUCCGUAGGUGUGGAAAUACCAGAAGCAGCAAAAGUUCAGCAGCUGCAAACAUUCCUCAAACUCCCCGUCAACCAUCCGAAAUAAUCCGAGGCCCCCGGGACCUCAAAAAAAAACACAAACAUAUCCCAAUACCUUAUUCAAACUUGUAUCAAUCUUCAAAACACCUCAAACAACGUCAAAUCAACCAAAACACAUUGGAUUCAAGCCAAACUUUCUAAAAUCCUCUGAAUUUCGCUUUUGAUCAAAAACCCAACCAAACCACAUCCGAAUGACCUGAAAUUUUGCACACACAUCUCAUGUGACACAAUGAAACUACUGCAACUCUCGGAAUUACAUUCCGACUCCUAUAUGAAAAUCUCACCUACCAACCGAAAAUCGCCAAAAUAUUUACUUCGCCAAUUCAAGCCUAAAUCUACUCCAAACCUCCAAAACUCAUUCCGAUCACGAUCCUAAGUCAUAAAUCAUCUCCCAAAGCUAAUCGAACCAUCGGAACUCACAUCCGAGCUAUCUAACACAUAAGUCAACCAGAUGUUGACUUUUCCAACUUAUACUCACUCUAAAGAAACUCAGUGUCUCAAAUCUUACCAAAUCCUUUCCGAACUCGAUCUGACCAACCCGAUACCACAUAAUACGAAUAAACAAAGCAUAAAGAAGCAAAAAAUAGGGUAAACGGGGUGGUAACUCAUGAGACGACUGGUCGGGUCGUCACACGUACCCAUAGUCACGAUGAUUUUAUUAAUUGCGUCUAAAGCAAGCUAUGAUAUUCAUGAGUUAUUUAUUUUCCUGAAAAUUUUAGACUGCUUGGGAACAUCUAAGAGUCAUAUAAAUUAUUGGAAAGAAAUUGUGUGAUUCGAUUAUGGAGAAGAACAUUUUGGACUCAUAGGUCCUACUUAUAUUGGCCCAGAUCUUUAUAAAUUCGAACUAAUCUCACAUGCCAAAUCAUUUUCACUAAGUUCAAGCCUUAUAUUCAACCUCUUUCAAUAGAUACAAUUCCAAUUCUCAUUAACAAAUUUCAAAUUGUUUUAUCUCAAUUUAACAAAGAGAUAGUAGUAUAAUUUCAUGUAGUCACUAAACACAAUAUAGGCAUAAAAGGCAGUUACAAUAAAGAAUAGAUAGAACAAAACAUAAAAAAUGGAGAAUGGAUUAUAUAUUAACUCAAACAAUAAAUAAAGUAAGGCAAUAGAGGAUUAAUGACAACUUGUAAAUUAGAACGAAAGUAGAAAAGGAAUAGAGAUAACAGACCUUUUAUAUAUAUGAAGAUUUGUUGAAUCCAAACAUGAAAACUCGACGAGAGAAUUCGAACAAACCGAACCAGGCACGGAGAACUCGCUGGCGAUCUCGGGUGACAGAGCUUCGACGUGAUUAAUGGAGAAAAUUAAAACUACUUUUGUGGUGCAUUUGGGGUUAGUUUUUGGCUAAAAUGUGGGGCUUUUGGGGGCUGUUUUCGAGUUGAGCUUGGGGGUGCUUUUGGUGGCUUUAUUGUUGAUUUUUGGUGAGCUUUUGGAGCUAUUUUCAAUGGCCAUUUUGCUGUAUUUUUUCAGCUGUAAACAGUGGUGUUUUGGAGUUGUUUGAUGGAGUUUAAGAGUGGCUUAAUGGAGGUUUCAUGGCUAAAAAAAUGGGCUCUUUGGGGUUGUUUGAGGGUGGUUUAAUGAAGGAUUUUAGGAAGAAGAUGAAAUAGAAAAGAGUAGGUGUGUCUUUUUUUUCAGAUUUGUGUUUUCCCCAUUUUUCUCUAUUUCCUCCUAUCCGUCUCUCUCUGUUUUUUGUCCAUUGUCCUCUCAUCCCGUU
rnacentral:lncRNA from 1 species